ACAGAGGGUGCGAGCGUUGUCCGGAAUCACUGGGCGUAAAGGGCGCGUAGGCGGUCUGGUAAGCGUGUGGUGAAAGCCCGGGGCUCAACCCCGGGUCGGCCAUGCGAACUGCUGGACUGGAGCAGAUCAGAGGCAGGCGGAAUUCCGGGUGUAGCGGUGGAAUGCGUAGAGAUCCGGAAGAACACCGGUGGCGAAGGCGGCCUGCUGGGAUCUUGCUGACGCUGAGGCGCGACAGCGUGGGGAGCAAACAGGA
rnacentral:rRNA from 1 species